AGCCGUAGAGUGGAAUCGAACCCUCAACAUCAUCCUUAUAGGACAAGCGUGCUAGCCACUACACCAUUAUGGC